AUAAAGUAAGCUAAGAACAUAAGCUAGUGGGUUCAUACCCCAAAAAUGAUAAUUUUCCUUUAUU
rnacentral:tRNA from 1 species